rnacentral:rRNA from 1 species
UACGUAGGGCGCAAGCGUUAUCCGGAAUUAUUGGGCGUAAAGAACUCGUAGGCGGUUUGUCGCGUCUGCCGUGAAAGUCCGGGGCUCAACUCCGGAUCUGCGGUGGGUACGGGCAGACUAGAGUGAUGUAGGGGAGACUGGAAUUCCUGGUGUAGCGGUGAAAUGCGCAGAUAUCAGGAGGAACACCGAUGGCGAAGGCAGGUCUCUGGGCAUUAACUGACGCUGAGGAGCGAAAGCAUGGGGAGCGAACAGG